rnacentral:rRNA from 1 species
GUGGGGAAUCUUCCGCAAUGGACGAAAGUCUGACGGAGCAACGCCGCGUGAGUGAUGAAGGUCUUCGGAUUGUAAAGCUCUGUUAAUCGGGACGAAAGAGCCUAGUGUGAAUAAUGCUAGGAAGUGACGGUACCGGAAUAGAAAGCCACGGCUAACUACGUGCCAGCAGCCGCGGUAAUACGUAGGUGGCAAGCGUUGUCCGGAAUUAUUGGGCGUAAAGCGCGCGCAGGCGGAUCUGCCAGUCUGUCUUAAAAGUUCGGGGCUUAACCCCGUGAUGGGAUGGAAACUACAGAUCUAGAGUAUCGGAGAGGAAAGUGGAAUUCCUAGUGUAGCUGUGAAAUGCGUAGAUAUUAGGAAUAACACCAGUGGCGAAGGCGACUUUCUGGACGAAAACUGACGCUGAGGCGCGAAAGCCAGGGGAGCGAACGGGAUUAGAUACCCCUGUAGUCC